rnacentral:rRNA from 1 species
UGGAUGAUGUGGUUAAUUCGAUGCAACGCGAAAACCUUCCACCUUUGACAUGUACGGAACUCGCCAGAGAUGGCUUGGUGCUCGAAAGAGAACCGUAACACAGGUGCUGCAUGGCUGUCGUCAGCUCGCGUCGUGAGAUGUUGGGUUAAGUCCCGCAACGAGCGCAACCCUUGUCAUUAGUUGCUACAUUUAGUUGGGCACUCUAAUGAGACUGCCGGUGACAAGCCGGAGGAAGGUGGGGAUGACGUCAAGUCCUCAUGGCCCUUAUAGGUGGGGCUACACACGUCAUACAAUGGCUGGUACAGAGGGUUGCCAACCCGCGAGGGGGAGCUAAUCCCAUAAAACCAGUCGUAGUCCGGAUCGCAGUCUGCAACUCGACUGCGUGAAGUCGGAAUCGCUAGUAAUCGCGGAUCAGAAUGUCGCGGUGAAUACGUUCCCGGGUCUU